rnacentral:rRNA from 1 species
UACGACUACAUAUCAGGCAUAUCAAUAAGCGGAGGAAAAGAAACUAACAAGGAUUCCCUUAGUAACGGCGAGUGAAGCGGGAAGAGCUCAAAUCUGAAAUCUUCAAGGUUCUACCUUGACGAAUUGUAGUUUAAAGAAGUGUUUUCUGUUAGUGGAGUGGCAAAAGUUCUCUGGAAUAGGACAUCAUAGAGGGUGAGAAUCCCGUAUUUGGUCAUUCCUUCUAGCUUUGUGAUACACUUUCAAAGAGUCGGAUUGUUUGGGAAUGCAGUCCAAAAUGGGUGGUAAAUUUCAUCUAAAGCUAAAUAUUGGCGAGAGACCGAUAGCGAACAAGUACCGUGAGGGAAAGAUGAAAAGAACUUUGAAAAGAGAGUUAAACAGUACGUGAAAUUGUCAAAAGGGAAGCGUUUGACACCAGUGUUGUUUUUCCGAAAAUCAAUUAAGAAGGGCUUGAUUUUGUGUUGUAUUGACCUUAUCAGCUUUCUUCACUCUUUUUCGAGUCUUUCUUAAUGCACUUUUCGGUUAACAAGUCAACAUCAAUUUCUUUUGUUGUAAAAGGGUAUUUGGAAGGUGGCUUUCUUUUCGGAGAAAGUGUUUAUAGCCUUAUACCUCUACAAUCGGAGAGAUUGAGGUCUGCAGCGUAGAUCCUUCGGGGCUAGAUACACUUGUGCUAAGUUAUAGCUUUUCAUAGACAACUUGUUGACUAUGUUUAGUCAUGUAGCUUACCCGCUUGUGCUAUUUUACCUACGCUUAGGAUGUUGAUCUACAGAGCGAGAGU